rnacentral:rRNA from 1 species
CCUACGGGAGGCAGCAGUAGGGAAUCUUCGGCAAUGGGGGGAACCCUGACCGAGCAACGCCGCGUGAGUGAAGAAGGUUUUCGGAUCGUAAAGCUCUGUUGUAAGAGAAGAACGGGUGUGAGAGUGGAAAGUUCACACUGUGACGGUAUCUUACCAGAAAGGGACGGCUAACUACGUGCCAGCAGCCGCGGUAAUACGUAGGUCCCGAGCGUUGUCCGGAUUUAUUGGGCGUAAAGCGAGCGCAGGCGGUUAGAUAAGUCUGAAGUUAAAGGCUGUGGCUUAACCAUAGUACGCUUUGGAAACUGUUUAACUUGAGUGCAAGAGGGGAGAGUGGAAUUCCAUGUGUAGCGGUGAAAUGCGUAGAUAUAUGGAGGAACACCGGUGGCGAAAGCGGCUCUCUGGUCUGUAACUGACGCUGAGGCUCGAAAGCGUGGGGAGCAAACAGGAUUAGAUACCCUGGUAGUCCACGCCGUAAACGAUGAGUGCUAAGUGUUGGUCUCAUAAGAGAUCAGUGCUGCAGCUAACGCAUUAAGCACUCCGCCUGGGGAGUACGACCGCAAGGUUGAAACUCAAAGGAAUUGACGG